GUUAAGCGACUAAGCGUACACGGUGGAUGCCCUGGCAGUCAGAGGCGAUGAAGGACGUGCUAAUCUGCGAUAAGCGUCGGUAAGGUGAUAUGAACCGUUAUAACCGGCGAUUUCCGAAUGGGGAAACCCAGUGUGUUUCGACACACUAUCAUUAACUGAAUCCAUAGGUUAAUGAGGCGAACCGGGGGAACUGAAACAUCUAAGUACCCCGAGGAAAAGAAAUCAACCGAGAUUCCCCCAGUAGCGGCGAGCGAACGGGGAGCAGCCCAGAGCCUGAAUCAGUGUGUGUGUUAGUGGAAGCGUCUGGAAAGGCGCGCGAUACAGGGUGACAGCCCCGUACACAAAAAUGCACAUGCUGUGAGCUCGAUGAGUAGGGCGGGACACGUGGUAUCCUGUCUGAAUAUGGGGGGACCAUCCUCCAAGGCUAAAUACUCCUGACUGACCGAUAGUGAACCAGUACCGUGAGGGAAAGGCGAAAAGAACCCCGGCGAG
rnacentral:rRNA from 1 species